rnacentral:rRNA from 1 species
UACAGAGGCCUCGAGCGUUAGGCGGAAUCACUGGGCUUAAAGCGUGUGUAGGUGGAUGCCUAAGUACCUUGUGAAAUCCCACGGCUCAACCGUGGAACUGCUGGGCAUACUGCGGGUCUUGGGCCAACUAGGGGCAGCCGGAACAAGCGGUGGAGCGGUGAAAUGCGUAGAUAUCGCUUGGAACGCCGAAGGUGAAAACAGGCUGCUGGGGUUGCGCCGACGCUGAGACACGAAAGCCAGGGGAGCAAACGGG